UAGGGAAUCUUCGGCAAUGGACGGAAGUCUGACCGAGCAACGCCGCGUGAGUGAAGAAGGUUUUCGGAUCGUAAAGCUCUGUUGUUAGAGAAGAACGUUGGUAGGAGUGGAAAAUCUACCAAGUGACGGUAACUAACCAGAAAGGGACGGCUAACUACGUGCCAGCAGCCGCGGUAAUACGUAGGUCCCGAGCGUUGUCCGGAUUUAUUGGGCGUAAAGCGAGCGCAGGCGGUUCUUUAAGUCUGAAGUUAAAGGCAGUGGCUUAACCAUUGUACGCUUUGGAAACUGGAGGACUUGAGUGCAGAAGGGGGGAGUGGAAUUCCAUGUGUAGCGCUGAAAUGCGUAGAUAUAUGGAGGAACACCGGUGGCGAAAGCGGCUCUCUGGUCUGUAACUGACGCUGAGGCUCGAAAGCGUAGGGAGCAAACAGG
rnacentral:rRNA from 1 species